rnacentral:lncRNA from 1 species
UCCGGUCGAGUUUUUUUGCUGUUGUUGUUGCCGCCGGACGCCGUGCCGCAGCCGUUCGCCUCAGUCCCGACGCCGUUGCUUCAACGGCUUGUUGUCGUGCCCCACCUGCGAAGCCGUGAUCGGUCCGUCGACGCCGCGCCAGAUCGGGAAACCGAGUUGCCCAGCCACCACCAUCCGGACGCCAUCGCCACGAGCAAGUAAUGCUACCGCCACCGCCGCCGUUGCCGUCGCCAUAGUUUCCCCCCUCCGCAGUCCAACUCUCGUCACUACCGUC